rnacentral:rRNA from 1 species
UACGAAGGGGGCUAGCGUUGCUCGGAAUCACUGGGCGUAAAGGGUGCGUAGGCGGGGCUUUAAGUCAGGGGGGAAAUCCUGGAGCUCAACUCCAGAACUGCCUUUGAUACUGAAGAUCUUGAGUUCGGGAGAGGUGAGUGGGACUGCGAGUGUAGAGGUGAAAUUCGUAGAUAUUCGCAAGAACACCAGUGGCGAAGGCGGCUCACUGGCCCGAUACUGACGCUGAGGCACGAAAGCGUGGGGAGCAAACAGG